CUCAUUUCCAGAAUCUUCUCUUCGGGCUUGCUUUUGUUUCCACUUUUGUAGUGAAGUUGGAGGGAAAAUAUAUCUGCCCUCAGUUCAACAGAACGGAUCAGUUAAUAUAGUGACUCAAAUAGUGUUGCAGACCUUUUUAAAGCUGGAACCAGCGCAGUGGGCAAGUGAGAAAAUUAUACCAUUGUUCGUGCGUUGCGUAUCAGAUGGCAUGUUUUCUUGAGUGGACUUUGGAACUUGUGGAUUUUGUCCCAAUGUGAAUUCGAAGCUCCCACAAGGAUAGUUGCGGACUUAGCUGCUGGAUAUACCCCUACCAUGACGCUGGUUGUGAUCCUGUUACUUGCACUGAUUUCACACACUCUGGCAUGGCAGAACAUGCCAAUCAGCAUGGACAGCAUCGAAGAAGGCUACCAAAUGAUUGUCAACCAUCAAGACCCGUGGUGGGGCUUUGAAGCAUCAAACGAGGACCUGGGUAGUAGUUAUCAGUACUACUAUCCAUACUAUUCUCAUAAAAAGGUUCAAUCUUCCUUUAACACGAGAAAGAAACCAAAUUACAAUAUUCCAACCCCAACUUUAAAUAGACCAAAGCCAACUUACAAUAGACCGAAUCCAACUUACAAUAGACCAAAGCCGUCUUAUAAUAGACACAAGCCAGCUUACAACAGACCGGUCAGAGGACACUACCCAAAACCACCACCGAUUCAACCAACACCCCCCACGCAGUCGGAAUCCUCUACCCGAGAGUGGCCAUCUUGGAUACCACCUGUAAGAUUCUUUAAGUUGCCAUUGGAUGAGCCUCCUGCUGCUAUCGACUAAAAGCCAAAUCUUUGUUAUACAGUAGAACCUCCAUUAAAAGACACCUCCGAAUAAGGGACACCUCUAUUUAUGGGACAUUUUUUGUGGUCCCAGUUCCUUUGAAUAGGGACUUCCAUGCAUUUACCUCUAAUUAAGGAACGCUCUAUUUAAGGAACAGUCACAAAAAAAAAGCAAGAAAUGAUGUAUAAGCACAUAAGAAAUAGUGAAUUUACAGGAAUUCAAGUUUCACUUUUCCUCUAAAAAUUAAUUGACGUAGGUUUGACAUAAAGAUAUGUGAAGGAAACAAGUAAUGUAUUUAAAAAAAAAAGAAGAAAUUUGCAGAAAUUAACAAGCAUAGUUUGCCCUCUCAACAAUUUAUUCAAGUUGAUUCAGAGCCAACGAAGAGUGCACAGCAACUAAUUAGCUUUGUAUAUAAAACUUAAGAAAUUUGAAGAUUAAUUGUAAUUCACAUAGUACUACAUUGUAAAUUACAUAACAUAAAGCAAAUACAUGUAAUGAAUUACUUCAAAAUUAUUUCUGUAUGCUACAAAACUUUGCCAAUACAAAAUUUUUUAUUAAAUUUUAAUUAAUAAAAUAAGAUAAACUUAGAAAUGUAAAUAAUUAUAAAUUUUAUUUAAUAUAAUAAGAAAAUUUCAGUACUUAAUCGUAAGUGUUAAUAGUUAAUGUUUAUUGUAAUAUUAUAUACUACUAAGUACACAGCAUGCAUCGACUCAAAUACCUUCGAGUAAGGGACACCUCUAUUUAAAGGACAAAAUAUCUGGUCCCCUUGGUAUCCUUUAUUGAGAGGUUCUACUGUACGUGAAUUGUUAUUUAGGAAGUUAUGUUGUGUGGAAGGAUUGCAAAUUUAUUUAUUUAUUUGUUGCGCUAUGGGAUACUGUAAAAUAUUUGCUGUGAAGAGUAAAAGCUGUGCUACUAAUAAACUUAUUGUAUGUGUUUUAUGUAUUUUUGAUAAAUUUUAUAUUCA